rnacentral:SRP_RNA from 1 species
GGUCAAGUCUUAUGCAACAUUGCGCUUCCAAACCCCGCCAGGUCCGGAAGGAAGCAACGGUAGGAAAAUCGUUUUGUGUGACAUGAGGAAGCUUGACCUCA